rnacentral:rRNA from 1 species
GGACGAACGCUGGCGGCGUGCUUAACACAUGCAAGUCGAACGGAAAGGCCCUGCUUGCAGGGUGCUCGAGUGGCGAACGGGUGAGUAACACGUGGGUGAUCUGCCCCUUACUUUGGGAUAAGCCUGGGAAACUGGGUCUAAUACUGGAUAGGACCAUGCUGUAGGUGGUGUGGUGGAAAGAUUAGUUUCGGUAAGGGAUGAGCUCGCGGCCUAUCAGCUUGUUGGUGGGGUAAUGGCCUACCAAGGCGUCGACGGGUAGCCGGCCUGAGAGGGUGGACGGCCACAUUGGGACUGGGAUCCGGCCCAGACGCCUACGGGGGGCAGCAGUGGGGAAUAUUGCACAAUGGGCGCAAGCCUGAUGCAGCGACGCCGCGUGGGGGAUGACGGCCUUCGGGUUGUAAACUCCUUUCAGCCAUGACGAAGCCCUUGUGGUGACGGUAGUGGUAGAAGAAGCACCGGCUAACUACGUG